GGCAGUCGUGGCCUAAUGCUCAGAGAGUUGGACUUGUAACCCGAAGGUCGUGGGUUCAAGUCUCAGGUCCGUCA